AUUGAACGCUGGCGGCAGGCCUAACACAUGCAAGUCGAACGAGUGGCGGCAGGGUUAGUAAUGUCUGGGAACCUGCCUGAUGGAGGGGGAUAACUACUGGAAACGGUAGCUAAUAACACAUAGCACAAGAUGUGCACAGUGGGGAUGAGCUGGUUGGUGGGGUAACGGAUCACCAAGGCGACGAUCCGUAGCUGUUCUGAGAGGAUGACCAGCCACACUGGAACUGAGAUACUGUCCAGCCUCCUACGGGAGGCAGCAGUGGGGAAUAUUGCACAAUGGGGGCAAGCCUGAUGCAGCCAUGCCGCGUGUGUGAAGAAGGCCUUCGGGUUGUAAAGUACUUUUAGCGGGAAAGCGUUACCCGCAGAAGAAGCACCGGCUAACUCCGUGCCAGCAGCCGCGGUAAUUC
rnacentral:rRNA from 1 species